rnacentral:sRNA from 2 species
CCUUUUCUCCGUAAGCCAUUUUCCCUACCCCUCCAUUGAUCCUAACAUCUCCUCCUCCCUCCUCUUUCUCGAUUCCGGAGUUUCCGCCUCUUCCUCCUAAUGAGGCGAUGUCAAUACAUAGACGCCUAAUGGCAAACUUAAACGUUUCCGCCGCAGUACGUUCUUUCUUACCGCUAAAACUUGCUUCUCCUUGCCAGUCAACAUCUCCCCCUCGAAUCUCUUCCUCUUCUGCUUUUUCCAACACAAAGAGAACUUCUAUGUGAUAAAUUAGUGACUCUGGGCGGGCUGAUCCGCUUUACGCAACAGAUGAAAUGGCUCCAUUGCGUUGUUCGCCAAUUUGCAUAGUGCAUACCGUUGUUUCCCCCGUCGUACGAGAUAAUUGCUAUUGCAUAAAUGGAGAAAGGAUGUGAGUGUGUUAAGGGUACUAUCAGUUUUGUCACCACCAUGCGAGAUCGCUCAAAUAUAUGGCAAUCUAAGGCUCCAAUGUUAGUCGCAGAGGUGAGAAUAUAGGGUCAUCUCCUAUUUCUAUUGCAUAAAAGGGUCAGUCGGCCGAACCGUGAUGCAUCAAUGUAACGGAAAAGGCUCUAUUUAUCUUCACUCAGUUCUAGCGGAACCUUGAGAGAAGUUCAAGAAAGUCAUGGAAUCGAAAACAGAUACAGCAGCUGAUAGGUAUUAGUGCGGAAAAAAAUUGAGUGCAGGUCCAGGGGAAUUGGCAAACGGAGGUUUCGCCUAUCGCUAAAGCAAUCCGGUCUCAUAUUACUCCAGCUCUUGAUUAACAAGACCAUCAAUAUCGACUCGCCGAUAGUACGAGACGUGCUUCAAUUCUUCCCAGAAAAGGGCCAUACAGUCGUAUGAGAGAAGGAAGAGCUGAGCAGGGAUGAACUUGUCUGUGACGAAAAAUCAAUCCGAAUUAAUACGAAGUUGCAUGUAUAGAGGAACUUGAUAGGGAAACUACUACUCAAUUCACAGGAGAGGAUGUGGAAAGGGUGGACGGCAACAAAAUUGUUAAAAUAGGAAGAAAAUAGGCAGAAAGAAUCACACGGAAUCUCACCAUCUCUGAAAUUUGUUGACGCGAUAUGGCCCUGGCUGCGCACCACCCGCGCUCCUUUGAAGAGAUCUUCAUCAGCGAUCCUGAUUAAUCCUUCCGGUCCGAUAUCCUCUGCGAAAAAUGUUAUUUGGCCGCGAGGCACGUUCGGAUCACCGGUCAAUUUUAUGGCUUCUAGCCUCCCUCGUGGUGUUUGGGACGAAGAGCCUGCCAAGGAGGAAUAUAUGGAGCCUGACGAAUCGCCCUCAGCGCCUUGCUGUUUCGUGCCCAGUGAAUGCUCAAAUGGAUCAUCCCGCUGCAACACAAGUAGGAAUUCAGACCCAUGGCCAGAGUAAUCGCCCACCCAAAUACCUUGGUAAGGCUUUUCUGGCGUCGGGGUAUAGAGCUCAGGCUGCAAUGAUGCAAAAGUGGAUACACCAUGUCGAGUAUUGUUUAUAUCAAAAACGGCACCUACAUUCCCAAGCUGCGCCCAUCGCCUAACUCGGAAAGCUGACGUGCAAAUAUUCUCAUAACUGUGUGGGACAUUCGCUGUCGACUUGAAUGACAAAUCCUGCUUAUAGGAGACGUCGACGCGUUCGUCGGACGGUAUUAUUCGAGGCGGCCACACAAAUUUUCCAGGGUCCUCCUUGUCCUCAUGGGGCAUUUUGGCACACAAAAUAAAAUUGUUAAAGACGCGCUGCGCUUCGAGCGCCAUGGGCAUUCGAAUCUCCCCAUGCCGCCAAUUGAUGGAGCGUUUAAAUGGCGUGCGGGUAAAUUUGAACAGUUGCACGACAGGAUCGUCCAUCCACAGAGAGACUUGUGGUUUAAAUGAGUGGAUGAGAACCUCAGGGUCAUAGCUCCAUGUUUCGAAUUGCCGAAAAGUAUGUUUUGCAACGACCCGAUAGCCUUCGAUCAUACACUUGCGGGGGUUGUAUCUCGUCACUAUAAGCUUUCCGGUGUCGAUCACAUCGGAGAACCAGAUCUUGUUGCGCGCCACGAACCACAUCGGAAAUUGGGAUAUGUAUAAUUCUUUCCAGGUAUUAAAUGGCGCAGGGUCACUGAGUGGUUUCGGCAAAUUGGAGUUGACGAGGUUCAUCCAGAGGAAGUCGCUCUGGGUGUGUUUGAACAGGUGGCGGCAGGUGGCAGACAUCGCCGCCAGACUAGGUGACGGAAGAAAACAUAGGAUUAUGUAGAGUAUCUCUGAGGGGAGAAGGACUAAGGGGGAGCUGGCCUUGCGGGCAGCGCCUUUUUCGCUGCUGUCCAGUGCUGGCAUUUGAGGAUUAUCAGAUAGCGCGCGAAGAGCCGGAUUUCGCUCGGGCUCCUCAACACCGGGUUGAACAAGACUAGUCAUCCUUUCAUCGUAGAACAGAUUGCUGCCUGGAGUAAGAGAGGUAGGGAGCAUUAUGCCUCGCAUUGUCGUAAUUAUCUCAACAGUGGGGUUCGCCAGACAAACAAAACAACGGAGAGAUGCGUUCUUGGCGGGGUGUUGCAGAUGACACCACUGGGAGGAGCGAACCAACAUGUUUACUUUCAUAGCGGAAUCUUCUUAAUUCCCCAUCUCUAAUACUACUCACUUGCAAUACACUAUAUAUAUGGCUAAAUAAAUAACCGCAUUGAUUAUUUCUCACAAAAAGUCUAGCAAAUCUCUCAUGAUAUACCAAAACAUUUCAUUCCUAAAGUAGCUCUUACAGCUUCGCCGCUUUCCCUCCCCGCCGCUGCCAUUCCUCCACCCGCUUCAAUCCACUCUCGUUCACUUUCAACUCCUUCUCCGCCUCUUUCUCCGCCUCCGCUGUAUCACCUCCGCACGUCUCCAAAAGCUCAUAGGUCUCCCUGUACAUCUCCCUCCUCAACUGACCAAAAACCCCAGAAAUGGGCAACUUCGUCAGCUUUUUCUUCUCAAUUAACGCCAGCGCCACGUCGACGCCACCAAGAGCAUCGACAAUGCUAUGUUCAAGUGCCUCCCUGCCACUAAAGCGGUAUCCCUCUUGUACUAUUGUCCUGAAUAUUGCCGGAUUUGCAAUUUUUUCUCGGAAGAUAGAGCACAUGGCGGGUUUCAGGGGGGCUCCGAAAUGGACCUCGUUUAGACAGAGGAAGCCGCGUGAGGAGUUGAAGAUGCGGUAGUCAUGGUACAUGGCUGUCAUGAAACCGCCCGCGAAAGCGUGGCCAUUUAUUAGAGCAACAGUGGGGAGAGGGUAACUAUACGCGAAAUUUUGGGACGGGUAAGCCGAAUGUGCCUGUCCCAAAGGGGAAAAGGUACAAAAUACAAAAUAAUUGGGGACAGGAACCACGCAAUAAAUAUCAAGCUUACGUUAACAGGCGCUUGAAAAGGGCGAAGAGGUUGUUUUCAAAGAAGCCCUUGGUCGUCACGGCCUUUUGGAGAUCAAGGCCAUUGCUGUAGAACUUCUGGAUGGCGGAGGUGGUAAUUACAACUCCUGGCGGGUAUUUGAACUGGAUUAUGUCCAGGGAGAGGAGCAUAGCCUGACAGAAAUCCUCCGUCAACCGGUUAUCCGGCGCAAAGUUGAAGGUUAGCAGGUACACAGCAUCCUGCGGCUGGGUGCAUGUUAGGACACCCUCCGCUGUCUGGAUGGUGAAGAGGGGAGAAGUCAUGUUAAAAGAAGGCGCAGAGGGGAACGCGCGAUGGCCGGGGGGAUGAAUUAGGGCUGUUCGAGAUUAGCAUGUAAAGGAGAAUUCCUCCAAAAUGAUAAAGUAGUGAAAUAUUAGCUGGUGUUGAGAGCCUUUAUAAAGAUGAACCUUGUGUAGUGUUG